rnacentral:rRNA from 1 species
CAGCAGCCGCGGGAACACGAAGGGUGCAAGCGUUAAUCGGAAUUACUGGGCGUAAAGCGUGCGUAGGCGGUUUGUUAAGUCUGCUGUGAAAUCCCCGGGCUCAACCUGGGAAUGGCAGUGGAUACUGGCAAGCUAGAGUGUGUCAGAGGAUGGUGGAAUUCCCGGUGUAGCGGUGAAAUGCGCAGAGAUCGGGAGGAACAUCAGUGGCGAAGGCGGCCAUCUGGGACAACACUGACGCUGAAGCACGAAAGCGUGGGGAGCAAACAGGAUUAGAUACCCCCGUAGUCCCUGUCUCUUAUAC